CACAGGAGAUGGCAUUCCUCCUGCUACAAACCGCCAGUGAUUGGCUAAUGAUGCCUACGAUC
rnacentral:ncRNA from 1 species